ACUGUACUGAGAUGCAUCGACGCUUGCCCUGUAUACGGUCACCUGGGUCAAGCCGAGCGAAUGGUGAGCCCGACUCAAUGGAGA
rfam:Deinococcus deserti VCD115, complete genome.